rnacentral:rRNA from 1 species
GACGAAGGAUGCAAGCGUUAUCCGGAUUCAUUGGGUUUAAAGGGUGCGUAGGCGGACUGAUAAGUCAGUGGUGAAAUCUCUUUGCUUAACAAAGAAACUGCCAUUGAUACUGUCGGUCUAGAGUAUAGAUGACGUUGGCGGAAUAUGACAUGUAGUGGUGAAAUACUUAGAUAUGUCAUAGAACACCGAUUGCGAAGGCAGCUAACGAAACUAUAACUGACGCUGAAGGCACGAAAGUGCGGGGAUCAAACAGG